UACGGAGGGGGCUAGCGUUGUUCGGAAUUACUGGGCGUAAAGCGCACGUAGGCGGCUUUGUAAGUUAGAGGUGAAAGCCCGGGGCUCAACUCCGGAAUUGCCUUUAAGACUGCAUCGCUAGAAUUGUGGAGAGGUAAGUGGAAUUCCGAGUGUAGAGGUGAAAUUCGUAGAUAUUCGGAAGAACACCAGUGGCGAAGGCGACUCACUGGCCCGUUACUGACGCUCAUGCACGACAGCGUGGGGAUCAAACAGG
rnacentral:rRNA from 1 species